CUAAAAUACUAUAUUUUGAAAUGAUGCUAAUUUGGCAGUUGCAGUUUUUGUCCUAAAUGUAAGAAGUUUGAAGCCUUAAUACUAUUAUACAAGACAAAAUUCAAUAAUGUUGAUACUACUACCAAACAAACUAAUGGCUUAUAAAUAUUUGAAGAAUGAAGAUAUUAAUUUAUUUGUUAAAUCAAUCACACUUUUUUUAUUUGCAAACUUAAAGGCC
rnacentral:lncRNA from 1 species